UACGGGGGGAGCAAGCGUUGUUCGGAUUUACUGGGCGUAAAGCGCGCGUAGGCGGCUUUGCAAGUCGGGUGUGAAAUCCCCAGGCUUAACCUGGGAACUGCAUUCGAGACUGCAUUGCUAGAGUAUGGGAGAGGAAAGCGGAAUUUCUGGUGUAGCAGUGAAAUGCGUAGAUAUCAGAAGGAACAUCAGUGGCGAAGGCGGCUUUCUGGACCAAUACUGACGAUCAGGUGCGAAAGCGUGGGGAGCAAACAGG
rnacentral:rRNA from 1 species